rnacentral:rRNA from 1 species
AGCGAACGCUGGCGGUAGGCCUAACACAUGCAAGUCGAACGACACCACCGUAAGAGCUUGCUCUUACGGGCGUCGAGUGGCGGACGGGUCCGGAAUACAUCGGAAUCUACUCUUUCGUGGGGGCUAACGUAGGGAAACUUCCGCUAAUACAGCAUACGACCUACGUGUAAAAGCAGGCGUUGUUUGGACCUUGCGCUAUUGUAUGAGCCUAGGUCGGAUUCGCUAGUUUGCGGGGUAAAGGCCCAGCACGGCCACGAUCCGUAGAUGGUCUGAGCGGAUGAUCAGCCACACUGGAACUGAGACACGGUCCAGACUCCUACGGGAGGCAGCAGUGGGGAAUAUUGGACAAUGGGCGCAAGCCGAAUCCAGCCAUACCGCGUAGGUGAAGAAGGAGUUCUGGUUGUAAAGCCCUUUUGUUGGGAAAGAAAAGCAGCAGGUUAAUACCCCGCUGUUCUGACGGUACCCAAAGAAUAAGCACCGGCUAACUUCGUG